rnacentral:rRNA from 1 species
UACGGGAGGCAGCAGUGGGGAAUAUUGCACAAUGGGCGCAAGCCUGAUGCAGCCAUGCCGCGUGUAUGAAGAAGGCCUUCGGGUUGUAAAGUACUUUCAGUCGUGAGGAAGGUGUUAAGGUUAAUAACCUUAGCAAUUGACGUUAGCGACAGAAGAAGCACCGGCUAACUCCGUGCCAGCAGCCGCGGUAAUACGGAGGGUGCGAGCGUUAAUCGGAAUUACUGGGCGUAAAGGGCACGCAGGCGGUUAAUUAAGUUGGAUGUGAAAUCCCCGGGCUUAACCUGGGAAUGGCAUUCAAGACUGGUUAGCUAGAGUCUUGUAGAGGGGGUAGAAUUCCAUGUGUAGCGGUGAAAUGCGUAGAGAUGUGGAGGAAUCCGGUGGCGAAGGCGGCCCCUGGACAAAGGACUGACGCUCAUGUGCGAAAGCGUGGGGAGCAAACAGGGAUUAGAUACC